UUCAUUCUUAGCUCAGUCGGUAGAGCAUGAGACCCUUAAUCUCAGGGUCAUGGGUUUGAGCGCCAUGGGUGAAA